CCGAACCUGGCAAACGCCUCCUUGGUCUUUUCUUUUCAAAACUCAAUUCUUUUUCAUUUAAAACCAUGAAAUCAUGUGAAAAACAUUUUAGAAAACACAUUUUACCCCUUCUAGAGAGAUCCAACACCCUAGAUUCCGCCGGAAGGCAAGAAUCCCGAUGCCGGAUUCUAGCCGGGUAUUACAAUAAUAUACAUUUGAACACUAUUAAGACGAUUAAUUAGUAUAUACAAAAAUAUAUAUUGAGUACAAAUCAAAGUAGCUAAAUACUCUUAGUUGACUUCUUUCUCCUUCUCCUUCCCCUUUGCCUUAGAGCUUUGGAAAGCUUAUCUCUCUACAGUUUCAGCAACCAAAACAACACAUUUAAAUAUAAUUAAACUCCAUUCAAGUCUUUUCUAAAUUUAUGCAAGACUAGGGAACAAUUCCUACUUACUCUCCACACAAAUUUCAAUUACCCAAAGUUGUUUCUUUUACAAUUGUUACACUAGACUUCCAAUUCUACCUUGCUUGAUCUUUAGCUUUCCCUAACCUUUUCUAUAUUUCUUCUCCAUCUCUAAAACACCCAUGGAAGAGAAGAAAGGAAUUGAAGGAAGGUUGGAAGUCUUAGUCUUUGCUAGCCAAAUUUCCCUCUCCUCCAAAAGCUUCAAUUUCCUUUCAAUUCUUCCUUCCUUGCUCUCUUAAUUGCUACCGCACCUUCACUUGCUCUCUUUCUCUUUGAUCUCCACUAAUUUUUGGGUGUUGAAUGAAGAAAAGUUUGCUGAAGACGUGAGGCUACGGCUGGCUGAAAUUUGAAGGUGAAAGAAGGAGAAGAGAAAGAAAUGUGGAGAAGAAAAAGGAAAUGAAGAUGGUGGAAUGGUGAUGUUCUCCACUAAGCAUUAAACUAAUACAUUCUCAUAUUUAGUUUCUUCUUUCUCUUCUUUUUAUAAUUAAUUAACAAUUUUAUUUAUAUUUAUAUACUAUAAAUUUUUGAAGUCUUAGUUUCACUAUUCUAAUUAUUCCUUAG
rnacentral:lncRNA from 1 species